GGCUUGUUGGUCUAGUGGUACGAUUCCUGUUUCGGGUACAGGAGGUCACGGGUUCAAACCCCGGACAAGCCC
rnacentral:tRNA from 1 species